CUUCUCUUCUUUCCCAGUACUUGAGAAAGGUUAUCAUCUUCCAAUAUUUCUCCGUUUCUGUCUCCAGCAUAUACUCUCUCUCUCUCACACAGGGCUAAAUUUGAUUUUGGUUGGUCGAUUGACAAAAGAUCUGCCAUCUAACUCAGGUAACUAGUUUUGAAUGCUAAGCUAGCUGAAUUUUCGUUCAUGUAUUGCAUUUUAUCAUGUAUUUUCAUAGUAUAACAAACCCUUUGAUUUGUUUGGAAUCAUGUAUGCCUGUGAAUCAAAUACCUUAUAUUAUGCAUAUUUAUUUGAUUUUUUAUGUUGCGAAUUGUGAUUCAGCAAAUCUUCACUCUUUUUUUUUUUCCUAUCAAUCAUGAAUUUAUAUGAUUCUUAAUGUUGUUCCAUGGUGUUGAUGAUUUGAGGAAUUGUUGUUAUAAUCAAUUGUAUGAUUCGUAUCAGUUUUAUUUGAUUCCUGGAUUUUACCUUCAAUUGUAUGAUUCCACCUUCACUGCUACUUUAAUUUUCUGUCAUUUCAUUUUCUAGCAAAAGCAAAUAAAUUAUAUUGUAGGACCAGAAGUGAAAAUCCAUUUCAACAGGUUUGUUUUUACUGACCGAUGUUGAUGCUGUUGCAAGCAUUCGAGUCACUCCCAGCAUUUGUACAUCUAAUUUUCAUUCCAUUGAAAAGCAUAUCAUUUAGAUGUGUUAAUGCUAACCAAAUUUAGGCUAGGAAAACGGUUAUUGGAGCUUCUGCUUAUGUUCGCAUUCUUCAGGUUCAAGUUAAGGUAAAUAUUAAUGUCUUUUUAUUUAUAUGUGGCAGCCUUAAGGUUCAAGUUAAGGUAAUACCUUGAGUCCUCAUCUAUUUUCAUUCCCCCCGACUGUUAAUCUUCUCUGUUAUGUAUUCGCACACAUAAAACCAAUGCUUAACUUGUAUGGGUUUUCUCUUUCCAAAACCUUACUCUGUUUUGCCUUUUCAUAUUUAUUUUUAAGAUAAUAGUAAGCUUGAUUCUAUAGUAGUACCUAUAAGCUGCACCAUCCCUAAUUUAGAGUCUUAGAUACGCGUUCUUAGAUAAAUGGCUCCGCAAUUGGCCAAUUGUUGUUUUUCAUAAUUGAGAUAUGAUGUUGUUUUGUCAAUAUGGUUUCCUUGGUUGUUUUGGAAAAAGGCUUAUUUCCGGGUGGGGGUUCUCGGAAUGAACACGAAUUUGGUUAUAGCUUUCUUCCAGCCAUUCACGGCUCUAACAUGUUUUCAAUUGAGCGAUUUAAUUUAUUGGUUUUCCAAAAGUUCACUGUAAACCAUUUACUUGGGUUGACGAAGUGCCAAAUCUUCGUUGCUCGCUUUAGCGUCUUUUAUAUGAUUAAGAUAAUCCAAUCCCGUUCGCUAUGGAAUUUGAUGGAGUAUAGUAAAUCUGACACAUCUCUAAUAUGUUAGAGAAGAUAACCAGCAACCUGUAUUAUAAUUAGGCCAUAAAAUCGAGCUCUUUGUCGCUGAAUUUCUUUGUUUUUACUAAAUUUAUCUAGCACAAUGACUUCUUUUGUAGACUGUACUCUCUUAAUUUAGUUUUAGUUUUCUUUUCUACAGAUUCUUACCUUUUCUCUUCUUCAUAUUUAGUUGGAAAGCUUCCAAGAAACUUUAAACUUUAAAUGAUCAAAUGUAAGCAUUUUUAAGUAUAUGACUACCUAUCUUCAUGUGCAGGUCGCCGACAACUAUGAGUUUGUGCCAUUUGGUGAACUAUAUUAUUUUUGGAGUCAACUUGGUUUACUUUCUUUUGGUUUGCUUGCUUUUAACUAGGCGGUUAGCAACUAACAGUACAUUAACUGGACGAUUAGUAUGCAUGUCUAUGCUAAAGCAUCCUUAAUAAAUUAAAAAAAAUAUUUAAUGUUAAACAUGAAGUGAAAGCACUGGCAGAAAUUUCCUUUGCUGAGCCUGAGACCAUGCGUGCCAAUGCUUAACACUUCCUUAUUUUCUGUUUUGUAUUGAAGAAAUAAGCAUUCUUUUUUUCUUUAGAUUAGCAGCUAUAAGAAAUCUACCAUAUGCUUCUUAAAGCUUCCCAAGUCAGCUGUAGCAUUUUAUUUUUGAAAUAUUGGAACAAUAUAGGUGACCCUUAAACCAUCAUGACAGAUAUAAUUGAUAGUUGUAGUAGUUUUUUUUUUAAAGGGUUCCUUUUGUAAGGUUCUAUUUUUUAGAUUACCAUAAAAAUAGUGGAGAAUUAUGUUUAGCUGAUAUUUGAAAGCAGUCUGAUACAUGCCCUAUUUGCAGAUCCUUGCUUUUAAGUUGGUAAAAUGUGACUUUUGCUUCAAAGGUAUGAAGUUCUGAACUGGCUUACUUGCUUUUAAGUUCUUUGUUGUGUAUUUUGUACCUAAUGUCUCAGGGAUUUCAGAUAUUAGUCAUAAGAUUUGGCUAAAUCAAUGCUAUUUUUUUACCAAAUCCGAAAGUUGCAGCCCGUUCAGAUUGACAGAGUGAUAUGGUUGUAUUUGGUUUUACUUCCAUCCAUUUUAUAUAAAACUUGGAGAAUCAGAUUGACAGAGUGAUAUAGUUGUAUCUUGCUUUAGAUAAUGUUCGAGUUGCUUAUCAAGGAUUUAGGGUAACAUUUGUUAAUUGCAGUUGGAGGAGAACAAUUUGAAUCAAAUAAAACAUUUAUGAAAAUGAAUCGAGGAAAAUAAUACUGGUAACUGUUCGGGUAACAAAUUUUUCUUUCUGUGUUUCGUUUAUGAUGCCUUGCCGCGGUGGACUUAUAUGCUUCAACUUUUUUAAGAUCCAUUCACACUACUAGCUACAGAGAUCACCACAAUAUCAUCAAAGGUGCGUUAUCUAUCUGUUUGGGUAUACGUAAGAACUUCUCAAUUGAAAUGCAAUGGGCAUUUUCAAGCUGUAUAAUGCAAUUGGCAUCACCACUUUCAAAAGCAAUCAUUUACCAUGCUCGGGCCCUGCAAGAAAUGGACUUGGAUAUCUGAAUGAGAGUAUUUUAAUUAUAGACCUAUCAUGUAAGCGUAAAAGCUAUUUUCAAGCCUGAUUGUGGCUUUUGUACAAAUUGCUUCUUAAAAAAACAUUAAUGAAAAUUUAUUAUUUUACCAGUUUGAUCAAUGAAA